rnacentral:rRNA from 1 species
CAUAGGUUUGGUCCCAGCCUUCCUGUUAACUCUUAAUAAACUUACACAUGCAAGCAUCUACACCCCAGUGAGAAUGCCCUCUAGGUUAUUAAAACUAAGAGGAGCUGGCAUCAAGCACACACCCUGUAGCUCACGACGCCUUGCUUAACCACACCCCCACGGGAAACAGCAGUGACAAAAAUUAAGCCAUAAACGAAAGUUUGACUAAGUUAUAUUAAUUAGGGUUGGUAAAUCUCGUGCCAGCCACCGCGGUCAUACGAUUAACCCAAGCUAACAGGAGUACGGCGUAAAACGUGUUAAAGCACCAUACCAA